UGAGCAACCUGCCCUUGGCUUCGGGAUAACUCCGGGAAACCGGGGCUAAUACCGGAUGUGACAUGCCCGCGCAUGGGGGUGUGUGGAAAGAUUUAUCGGCCAGGGAUGGGCUCGCGGCCUAUCAGCUUGUUGGUGGGGUGAUGGCCUACCAAGGCGACGACGGGUAGCCGGCCUGAGAGGGCGACCGGCCACACUGGGACUGAGACACGGCCCAGACUCCUAGGGGAGGCA
rnacentral:rRNA from 1 species